UGGGGAAUAUUGCACAAUGGGGGGAAACCCUGAUGCAGCGACGCCGCGUGAAGGAAGAAGUAUCUCGGUAUGUAAACUUCUAUCAGCAGGGAAGAUAGUGACGGUACCUGACUAAGAAGCCCCGGCUAACUACGUGCCAGCAGCCGCGGUAAUACGUAGGGGGCAAGCGUUAUCCGGAUUUACUGGGUGUAAAGGGAGCGUAGACGGCAUGGCAAGUCUGAAGUGAAAUGCGGGGGGCUCAACCCCUGAACUGCUUUGGAAACUGUCAGGCUGGAGUGCAGGAGAGGUAAGUGGAAUUCCUAGUGUAGCGGUGAAAUGCGUAGAUAUUAGGAGGAACACCAGUGGCGAAGGCGACUUACUGGACUGUAACUGACGUUGAGGCACGAAAGUGUGGGGAGCAAACAGGAUUAGAUACCCUGGUAGU
rnacentral:rRNA from 1 species